rnacentral:rRNA from 1 species
AUUGAACGCUGGCGGCAGGCUUAACACACGCAAGUCGAACGGUAACAGGCCGCAAGGUGCUGACGAGUGGCGAACGGGUGAAUAAUGCAUCGGAACGUGCCCAGUCGUGGGGGAUAACUGCUCGAAAGAGCAGCUAAUACCGCAUACGAUCUAUGGAUGAAAGCGGGGGACCGUAAGGCCUCGCGCGAUUGGAGCGGCCGAUGUCAGAUUAGGUAGUUGGUGGGGUAAAGGCUCACCAAGCCAACGAUCUGUAGCUGGUCUGAGAGGACGACCAGCCACACUGGGACUGAGACACGGCCCAGACUCCUACGGGAGGCAGCAGUGGGGAAUUUUGGACAAUGGGGGCAACCCUGAUCCAGCAAUGCCGCGUGCAGGAAGAAGGCCUUCGGGUUGUAAACUGCUUUUGUACGGAACGAAACGGUCUGGGUUAAUACCCUGGGCUAAUGACGGUACCGUAAGAAUAAGCACCGGCUAACUACGUGCCAGCAGCCGCGGUAAUAC